ACCUACCUUAUUCAGGGGGAUAGCCCGAAGAAAUUCGGAUUAACACCGCAUAAAAUCACAGUCCAGCAUUGGACAAUGAUCAAAUAUUUAUAGGAAUAAGAUGGGCAUGCGUGUCAUUAGCUAGUUGGCGGGGUAACGGCCCACCAAGGCGACGAUGACUAGGGGAUCUGAGAGGAUGACCCCCCACACUGGUACUGAGACACGGACCAGACUCCUACGGGAGGCAGCAGUAAGGAAUAUUGGUCAAUGGAGGCAACUCUGAACCAGCCAUGCCGCGUGCAGGAAGACAGCCCUCUGGGUCGUAAACUGCUUUUAUUCGGGAAUAAACCUUAUUACGUGUAAUAAGCUGAAUGUACCGAAGGAAUAAGGAUCGGCUAACUCCGUGCCAGCAGCCGCGGUAAUACGGAGGAUCCAAGCGUUAUCCGGAUUUAUUGGGUUUAAAGGGUGCGUAGGCGGCUUAUUAAGUCAGGGGUGAAAGACGGUGGCUCAACCAUCGCAGUGCCCUUGAUACUGAUGAGCUUGAAUGAACUAGAGGUAGGCGGAAUGUGACAAGUAGCGGUGAAAUGCAUAGAUAUGUCACAGAACACCGAUUGCGAAGGCAGCUUACUAUGGUUUUAUUGACGCUGAGGCACGAAAGCGUGGGGAUCAAACAGGAUUAGAUACCCUGGUAGUCCACGCCCUAAACGAUGAAUACUCGCUGUUAGCGAUAUACAGUUAGCGGCUAAGCGAAAGCGUUAAGUAUUCCACCUGGGGAGUACGCCCGCAAGGGUGAAACUCAAAGGAAUUGACGGGGGCCCGCACAAGCGGAGGAGCAUGUGGUUUAAUUCGAUGAUACGCGAGGAACCUUACCCGGGCUUGAAAGUUAGUGAAUCAUUUAGAGAUAGAUGAGUGAGCAAUCACACGAAACUAGGUGCUGCAUGGCUGUCGUCAGCUCGUGCCGUGAGGUGUUGGGUUAAGUCCCGCAACGAGCGCAACCCCUAUGUUUAGUUGCCAGCACGUUAAGGUGGGGACUCUAAACAGACUGCCUGUGCAAACAGAGAGGAAGGAGGGGACGACGUCAAGUCAUCAUGGCCCUUACGUCCGGGGCUACACACGUGCUACAAUGGAUGGUACAGAGGGCAGCAAGCUGGCAACAGCAAGCAAAUCUCAAAAAGCCAUUCACAGUUCGGAUAGAGGUCUGCAACUCGACCUCUUGAAGUUGGAUUCGCUAGUAAUCGCGUAUCAGCAAUGACGCGGUGAAUACGUUCCCGGGCCUU
rnacentral:rRNA from 1 species